rnacentral:rRNA from 1 species
AAGGUUAAGCAUAAAAGCGUAUAUGGUGGAUGCCUUGGCAGUCAGAGGCGAAGAAGGACGUGCUAAUCUGCGAAAAGUAUCGGUAAGUUGAUAUGACACGUUAUAGCCGAUAAUAUCCGAAUGGAGAAACCCGACACUAUUAAUAUUAGUGUCAUUGUUAAUUAAAUUCAUAGAUUAACAAAGCAAACCGAGGGAACUGAAACAUCUAAGUA